CUCCGACAUAGCUAAAUCCUUCGCGCUGGGCAAGGAUAAGACCGGUUACAUUAUUAAAUUUGGUAUUGCAGCAUAUUUUAAAAAGCAACUGGUUGAGACCAUAAACAAUGCUGGGCCGUUCGUCCUAAUGUUUGACGAGAGCCUCAACAAAUCCUCAAAAAAAAAACAGAUAGAUAUACAUAUUCGUAUUUUGGAGGAUGGUUGUGUCAGGUCAAGAUAUUUUGGCUCCGAAUUCCUGGGACAUGCAGGAGCUGAUGAUCUGCUGCAGCACAUCAAAGUAAGUUUACUUUCCUAUAACUAUAACGACAAAGCUCUGUUUGUUUGUGUAUAUAUAUUAAUAAAGCUACAAAUGUCCCACUUUGACAACGUUAAUGCGCUAAGAAAUGCACGUGAUAAAUGUUGGGUAACUGACCACCGGGCAUUACGUCAGGUAACAUGUAAGUUUCACUUUUGACUUGCGUUGGCUACUACACAUCGAAGUGCGGUGUGGAGGUUUUAAAAAAGAAAAAAAGAAAGUAGACCGUGUACACUGUGAAAUUAAGUGAAAUGUACACUGGAGGAAUCUAGCACGACUGCGGUCCACUUUAAAAAAAUAAAAAAAUAAUUAAUUAAUUAAAACGGUUAACCGUGUACACGAAAAAAAAAAAAAAACACCAAUAGUGAGCCACCGCUGGGGAACCAAUGAUCUAACUUUGACAAAGCAGUCCUUGACAUAGGCCUAAUAUCUAUAUCUGCAUCUGUUUAAUUUGAAGCAUAUACAGUAUUACUGUCUGUCCGUAUAUUGAGUGUGGUUUACUUCAACAAUAAAUGUUAUUCAAACAAACUUUCUAAUGUGUGACAAUUCACAGGAAUGUGUUGCACAACUCAAAAUGAAGCAGCUUCUCUCGGUAGGAAUGGAUGGCCCCAAUGUCAACUUCAAACUCCUGGAUCUCCUUCAAAAGGAGCAUGCUGAGCUGCAUGGAGGUUCUCAAAUCCUGAUGGUUGGGAGCUGUGGACUUCACACCCUCCACAAUGCCAUGAAGGCAGGCUUUACAGCCUGGCAAAUUGACAAACUCCUGCGAGCGCUCCAUUUCCUCUUCCACAACGUUCCUGCCCGGAGAGAGGACUACACCAACAUCACUGGGUCCUCUUGCUUUCCCCUCUCUUUUUGCGGCCACAGAUGGGUGGAAAAUGUGCCGGUUGCAGAGAGAGUCCUGGAAGUUUGGCCCAUGAUUCAGACGUAUGUCAAUGCUGCUGAGAAUAAUAGGGUCCAAAAACCGAACACAGCCUCUUAUGACGCCAUCCUGGCAGCACAAGGAGAUCCAGUAUUAAUUCCGAAGCUUCAAUUCUUCCUUCCCAUUGCAAGAAGUUUUAACCCUUUUCUGAAGAAAUAUCAAACGGACGAGCCAGUGUUGCCUUUUUUGGCAAAGGAUUUAACUGAGCUCCUGAUGAGUUUACUGCAGCGUUUCAUCAAAAGGGAUCUCCUACAGGACCGAACCUCCCUGCAGUUGAUCAAAUUGGACGUCUCUGAG
rnacentral:lncRNA from 1 species